UCAAAAAAUAUAUUUUUAUAUUUGCAACUAUCCACAUACACACACAAUCUUAAUGCUUUUCACUCGGUUUUUCACUCUGCUCUCCUGUGGAUCUCUGCCCUACGUCCUCGCUACGUCUCUCUCGCUCUCGCUCAACAUCUGCUCUCUGCACACGCUCAAAUCUGCCUUCACGCUCGCUCAGCUCUGCACGGCGUUACAAAUGUGCCACAAUUCCAGCCAAUCACAGACUUCUGAUUCUAUCCAAUCGGGUCCCUGUUUCGGCCGCCUCUCGGAAGCGCUGUUAAAAACGAUCGCUAAAUCAACUGGAGUUCUGCUAUAUACGCUGGACUACGACAGAUUUUCGAGCCACUGGACCCUCGUUUAAUUAGCCAAGAUUAGCAAAGCUGUACCAUGUCGGAUCCUGAACGACAACACAACGGUGCACCACAUCCACAUGUCUUGUACUUGGAUGCUGCAACAAAUAACAGAGCACAAACUGCAUUCUCAUUCUUCAUCACAUCGGUCCAGCUUCAUGGCUUACCGUCAAGGGUUAGGGCAGAUCAGGAAGUAGAAAACCUGGAUAUUGCACAUUUCAUGUUUGCCACACGAGGAACAGGAAGAUCGAGCUUCAUCUCUGGAAAAAGUACCAUGACAUUCUUCACUCUCUGGAAGAGGAUGGUCUACUUGACAUAUCUGAUGCCACUCUUCUCUUUGGUGUGCACUACGUCUUUGUCCCCGACUCUGGGCAGAUCUUGAUACCUUUAUUGAAGGAUGGAAUAAUCAUUCUCUGCGGACAGAGGGAGGUCUCACCCCUGAACAGCUGUGGUGCAUGGGACGUCUACAAGAUCUGGAUGAGGGGGAGAGACUCGAGGUACAAUAUGAUGUAAAAACAAGUAGGACAUGUAUUUUAAGAAGUUGAUUGUAAGACUGAGCAGUACGUAUCUGCUACGCAUUCUGAUAGAUUAGACUAUUACAGACUGUAGUUUACAAAGCCCACAUAUUUUCAUAAAAUGAAGAGUACUGUACUGUUUAUAAGGCCUGAAUCAGGAAAUAUGUCAUGAUUUGUGGGAUGAUCCUGAUUUUUUUUUUCGU